rnacentral:tRNA from 1 species
GGGAUAUAGCUCAGUUGGUAGAGUGUUUUCCUCGUAUGCACAAAGCUCUGGGUUCAAUGGCCAGCACCACCC